GGCACAGGCAAAUAUCGGUUGGAUAAGGAACAUUUUGUUCUCUAUCCAGACUUUGAGGACAAUCAAGUUGUCAUGAAUGAGAAUGAACCAUCAUCAGUGCAAGCUCAAGAGAAGAAGGAGAAAGCAAAGAAGGAGAAGGCUACCAAGAUGCCAACUCUAGAGGAGGCAUCUGAGUACUUUUUGAAGAGCAAGCAGGACCAGCUUGGUUACUUGAUAGCAUCAACUCUGAGGAUUGAGAAGGGGUUGGCCACCCUAACUCAAAACCAGGAGAGCCUGGAAAGAAUCAUGGAACAAAAAUUCUAUGAUUUAGAUGUCAAACUAACUGAGCUUCAGUCAGUUGUGGAGCAGCUACAGGAUGACAUGCAGGAGAGGAAGGGCAGGACAACUACUGAUGCAUUUGCCAGAGUGCCUCGAGCUCAGAGAUCAGCUGCAAAGCCAGUGACAGACACC
rnacentral:rRNA from 1 species